UGCGAGUCGAACGAGACCUUCGGGUCUAGUGGCGCACGGGUGCGUAACUCGUGGGAAUCUGCCCUUAGGUACGGAAUAACUCAGAGAAAUUUGUGCUAAUACCGUAUGAUGUCGAAAGACCAAAGAUUUAUCGCCUAAGGAUGAGCCCGCGUAAGAUUAGCUUGUUGGUGAGGUAAGAGCUCACCAAGGCGACGAUCUUUAGCUGGUCUGAGAGGAUGAUCAGCCACACUGGGACUGAGACACGGCCCAGACUCCUACGGGAGGCAGCAGUGGGGAAUAUUGGACAAUGGGCGAAAGCCUGAUCCAGCAAUGCCGCGUGAGUGAUGAAGGCCUUAGGGUUGUAAAGCUCUUUUACCAGGGAUGAUAAUGACAGUACCUGGAGAAUAAGCUCCGGCUAACUCCGUGCCAGCAGCCGCGGUAAUACGGAGGGAGCUAGCGUUGUUCGGAAUUACUGGGCGUAAAGAGUACGUAGGCGGUUAUUCAAGUCAGAGGUGAAAGCCUGGAGCUCAACUCCAGAACUGCCUUUGAAACUAGAUAGCUAGAAUUAUGGAGAGGUUAGUGGAAUUCCGAGUGUAGAGGUGAAAUUCGUAGAUAUUCGGAAGAACACCAGUGGCGAAGGCGACUAACUGGACAUAUAUUGACGCUGAGGUACGAAAGCGUGGGGAGCAAACAGGAUU
rnacentral:rRNA from 1 species